AGACAUUUGAACCACAGACUUGCAAAGCGAGAAGGGUGGAGCUCUUUGUUCCGGUUCCGAUCUCUUCCUUUUACACAUAUGGAUCCGGAACUUAAUCAAGCAUCUGACAAUUACGCAAGACAUCAGUUCUGGGUUACCCGGGAUUAGACAACGUUUGGCAACUGAACGUGGCCCAGGUGAGAGAUGCACCCUCUGUGGUGAGGUUACCCUGUGGUGAGAAGGUUCCAGAGUGAAGUGGAGGGAUCCAUGCGAUGCAGGCUGAGGGCCACGUGGGCUCCAGGGACGCCCAUCCUGGUGUUCAGGACGUGAGUGGUCAGGGGGCAGUAUGGAGCUGCCAUCUCUGCACUCUACAGCGCAUACACCGACAGCAUAAUCCCCUGUGCUCAGCAGAACACCAUGAGCUAACAGAUCUGGCGGCCAACAGAAGUUCUGUGAUCAGGCAGGGAGGAGAGACAAAGUGAGCAAUCGGGAGAGAGAGAACAGCGCCACGGUCCCCAGCACAGAUGAGGGGCUCUGUGUCCUAAUGGGGAACUCGAGCGGAAGAAAAUAACAACUAUUUGCCAAACUCUCACAGCAGGAAAACUAAGACAGACUGACUCACUAACUCUCUUUCUCCCUCUUUUCCUCUAUCAUUUUCUCUCCCUGCAGCAAUGUUCUAGUUGGUAAUCUGUCAUUUAGCACUGGGAGGAGAGAGAGAGAGUCAAGACAGAAAACAAUUGCCAUUUCCUCUUCUAUUAUCCAACCCAUCUUCUGUUAUUAGAGUGGCUAAACUCUUCAACCAAGUCUGAGACAAGCAGACAGACAUGUCAGGUAUUAGUGCCUUUCUGCAGUUUGAAAACAUAGGAGACCAUACUGUGCAUUACAGUAUCAUCAUCCUUUUAGCCAAGCACUUCGGAGAGGCAUUGUGAUUGUAACACUACCUGCCUGGUGAAAAGACUGAUUCCCGGCUCCAGAAUGGUUACCAUGACCAAAAUGACUGCUGGGAGACCAUAAAUCAGUGCUAUUCCCCUAGUGGGGUUGUGGGGGUACUUCAAUGGGGUAGCCAAUUUUUUAAUAUAUUUUUAAUGCAAUGAAUUGAAGGUUAUUUAUUGAUGUAAAAUUCGAAAUGUACCAAUUUUAAGGUCUUAAGGUUUAAGGUUAGAUUUGGCGUGGGAUCACUAUAAUAUUUGGGGGGAAAGAAAUGGGGUCCCCAGAAAUUCUGGCAGAAAAAUGGGGUCACCGCUGAAAAAGUUUGAAUACCACUAGACAUAAACAGUAUCUAUUAGAACCACAGCACAUCUCUCGACCAUAAUGUUGAGCGAUUAGUGCUUUUUUGAGUUUCGGUUCGAUUCUAAAAAAAAAUCAAAUUUUUUCAUUUCGGUUUCAAAUGACUUUUAAAAAUUAAUUACACUGCGUUAUGUGGGUUGAAUGCUCUAACAACAGAUAAUAAAACAAGUCCCAUGAUGGUAGUACAUGACAAUUACUACUUAUCAUUCAUUCACUUUACUUACAUAAAAUAUUUUAGUUGUGUAUAUUACAUUUGUUUUAUUUGAUGACUUUAUUAUUUCAUUCCAAGUCAUCCUCUCAUCUCUAUAGAGCUGUUUCCUAUGCUGUCUGACAAAAUCACUAUUUUGGAUUUUAUUUUUUUCCCAAAGUAAAUAAGGCAUAUACUUUUACAACGGCUGAAUACCAACUAUCAAUCCCUUAUAUCAUGUAUUUUCAGAAAGAGAUACCUAGUAAGAUGUUGGUUUAUUACUCAGCACUACUCAUACAGCAACACAACCACCUGGAGUAAACUAAUCACACUCUGGAUUGUCUCUUUAAUGACAUAAUGGUCUCUGGAAUGGAAGCUUUGUUGCAUAGACAAAGCAAGGUGCCCCUGCACACAAGAAGCUUCCAUUCCCCCUGUCGCAAGGUAUUUAUAGCUCUAUAGAGCUGCUGCCUAUGCUGUCCGACAAAAUCACUAUUUUAGUAGUUCUUCAAAGUUAAUAAGGCAUCAUUUUAUGACUGCUGAAUACUAAAUAUCAAUCACUUAGAUCAUGUAUUUUCAGAUAGAGAUACCUCGUGAAGCAACUGCUCUCUAUCUCUCUCGACCAUGCAUCUGUGCGCUCACGCAUAGAUUGGACAAGUAGGCGAGCAAGGGAUUGUGGUCAUUGUAGUUAAUUACCACGUUUUCAGCACCAAACUAGUAGAAUAUUGGCCUGUUGGAAACUCCAACUCCCUACUACAUUGCACAGUUCGAUCUGAUUUAUUUAUAGAGAAAAUGAGCUUUGAGCUCACAGAAAAAAAUGAAUAAAAUGGAAUUAUAAUAACUGAACCAACAUUGGUCAAUAAGUUGUUUAUAAAACAAAAAAUAACUGACAUUUCUGUUAAUCGCUCAGCAAUACUCAACCAGCAACAGAACCACCUUAAUAAGUAAACCAAUCACACACUGGUUCUCUUUAAUUACAUAAUGGUCUCUGAGUUUGUGAGUGGAAACAUGUAUUUGAGAGAGAGAGAGGGGUAGCUUAGUGAAGGGUAGUGUGUGUGUGUGUGUGUGUGUGUGUGUGUGUGUGUGUGUGUGUGUGUGUGUGUGUGUGUGUGUGUGUGUGUGUGUGUGUGUGUGUGUGUGUGUGUGUGUGUGUGUGUGUGUGUGUGUGUGUGUGUGUGUGUGUGUGUGUGUGUGUGUGUGUGUGUGUGUGUGUGUGUGUGUGUGUGUGUGUGUGUGUGUGUGCAGGGACAGCCAAAUGGACAGCGGGGUCACUAGAGGCUAAUUUAUUUAUUUUCAUAAUUUCUCGAGUGCCCCGGCAAUCCAUUAGACAUGGCUGGAUACAAAUCAUCUCACCUUGCUGGUCGCAUAGCGUGUGCAUGUGUGUGCGAGCGCAGAUGUGGAGGUGCUGUCUGUGGUAAGCAUUGAUACUUCCCCCUGUCAACAUACAGCGUAUACUCACACAUCCCUACAUACACUAUAUGUUGAUAUAAACAGGAUGCCAUGAUCAUCAAUCCUUUUGAUCAGGAAACUGGCCUCAUGAGUAUGUGCUCAUUGCUCUUAGGGGAUUAGCCUAGGGAGGAACAUGCACCCUCAUCUACUCUCUCCACACUAACAGCCAAGUCAUCCCAUGGCAUAAGGACACAACCUUACUUACUCUCACUCCAACUCCACCAGAAACAAACACUCUCAUAAAUAUCCUCCCCUCCUCCCCCCUCUCAUUCUGUCCCAGUAGUUUGGCGUCAUCAGUGUAAUGGUGUGUGUCAAGUGUUCAUAUAGAUCUGUGUUUGACGAGCCCCGGAGAAGAGUGAGCACAGUCCCAUGUCAUCCACAGGAUGGAUUGCAGCUCACAAAACAAAUGCACACACGAACGCACACAUGCUUUCUCACGUUCUUCCCCCUUUCCCCUUCCUUUUCCUUUUCUUUGUCACAUUCUGACCUCAUUUGUUUUGUUAUUGUCUUUGUUUUAGUAUGGUCAGGGCGUGAGUUGGGUGGGUUGUCUAUGUUAGUUUUUCUAUGAUUUGUUAUUUCUGUGUUUGGCCUGGUAUGGUUCUCAAUCAGAGGCAGCUGUCAAUCGUUGUCCCUGAUUGAGAACCAUACUUAGGCAGCCUGGUUUCACUUUUGAGUUGUGGGUGAUUGUUUUCUGUUUUGUGUCUGCACCAGACAGGACUGUUUCGUUUCGUUCAUUCUCCUUUGUUAUUGUGUUUAGCGUUCUCGUGAUAAUAAAUUAUCAAUAUGGA